rnacentral:rRNA from 2 species
GUUNCUAGCACNUGACAGUCGAGCGAACUGAUUAGAAGCUUGCUUCUAUGACGUUAGCGGCGGNNGGGUGAGUAACACGUGGGCAACCUGCCUGUAAGACUGGGAUAACUUCGGGAAACCGAAGCUAAUACCGGAUAGGAUCUUCUCCUUCAUGGGAGAUGAUUGAAAGAUGGUUUCGGCUAUCACUUACAGAUGGGCCCGCGGUGCAUUAGCUAGUUGGUGAGGUAACGGCUCACCAAGGCAACGAUGCAUAGCCGACCUGAGAGGGUGAUCGGCCACACUGGGACUGAGACACGGCCCAGACUCCUACGGGAGGCAGCAGUAGGGAAUCUUCCGCAAUGGACGAAAGUCUGACGGAGCAACGCCGCGUGAGUGAUGAAGGCUUUCGGGUCGUAAACUCUGUUGUUAGGGAAAACAGUACAGAGUACUGCUUGUACUUGACGGUACUAACCGAAACCCCGGCAAAUACGUGCCACACCCCGGGAAACGUAGGGGCCAGCGUUUCCGGAAUAUUGGGGUAAACGCCGAAGGGGUUCUUAAUCCGAGUUAAAGCCCCCGCUCACCGGGAGGUCAUGGAAAUGGGAAUUUAUCCAAAGGAAGGAAAAACGGAAUUCCCGGGACCGGGAAAGGGGCCGGAAAAUUGGAAGAAACCAGGGCGAAGCGGCUUUUGUCCUGUAAAGAGCCGAAGGCGAAAACGGGGGACACACCGGUUGGUAAUCCCGGUGAUUCACCCCUAAAGAGAGUGUAAUGUAGAGGGUUCCCCCCUUGUGCGCAGGUAAGCAUAAGACUCGCCCGGGAGUUCGUCGCAGACUGAACUCAAAGAAUGACGGGGGCCCACAAGCGGGGAGCAGUGGGUAUUUGAGCAAACGAGAACCUACCAGUUUGACAUCUCUGAAAAUCCGAGAAGAGGGUUCCCUUUGGGGACAGAGUGACAGGUGUGCAUGGUGUCGUCAGCCGUGUCGUGAGAUGUUGGGUUAAUCCCGCAACGAGCGCAACCCUGAUUUUAGUUGCCAGCAUUAAGUUGGGCACUCUAAGGUGACUGCCGGUGACAAACCGGAGGAAGGUGGGGAGGACGUCAAAUCAUCAUGCCCCUUAUGACCUGGGCUACACACGUGCUACAAUGGAUGGUACAAAGGGCUGCAAGACCGCGAGGUCAAGCCAAUCCCAUAAAACCAUUCUCAGUUCGGAUUGUAGGGUGCAACUCGCCUACAUGAAGCGGGAAUCGCUUGUAAUCGCGGAUCAGCAUGCCGCGGUGAAUACGUUCCCGGGCCUUGUACACACCGCCCGUCACACCACGAGAGUUUGUAACACCCGAAGUCGGUGGAGUAACCUUAAGGAGCUAGCCGCCUAAGGUGGGACAGAUGAACGGCGCA